rnacentral:rRNA from 1 species
AGUUUGAUUAUGGCUCAGAUUGAACGCUGGCGGGAUGCUUUACACAUGCAAGUCGAACGGCAGCACGGACUUCGGUCUGGUGGCGAGUGGCGAACGGGUGAGUACUGUAUCGGAACGUGCCUAGUAGCGGGGGAUAACUACGCGAAAGCGUAGCUAAUACCGCAUACGCCCUUCGGGGGAAAGCGGGGGGACCUUCGGGCCUCGCACCAUUGUGGGAGUGGCCGAUAUCAGAUUAGCUAGUUGGUGGGGUAACGGCUCACCAAGGCGACGAUCCGUAGCUGGUUUGAGAGGACGAGACCAGCCACACUGGGACUGAGACAUGGCCCAGACUCCUACGGGAGGCAGUGGGGAAUUUUGACAAUGGGGGAAACUGAUCCAGCCAUCCCGCGUGUGCGAUGAAGGCCUUUGGCUAAAAGCACUUUUGGCAGGAAAGAAAACGGCACGGGAUAAUACUCCCCGUGUGCAACUACCGUACUCGGCACACCAUAAUCAUGCACAGCAGCCGCGGUAAUACGUAGGGUGCAAGCGUUAAUCGGAAUUACUGGGCGUAAAAGCGUGCGCAGGCGGUUCGGAAAGAAAGAUGUGAAAUCCCAGAACUUAACUUUCUUGGAACUGCAUUUUUAACUACCGAGCUAGAGUGUGUCAGAGGGAGUGUGGAACGCGUAGCAGUGAAAUGCGAUAUGCGGAGGAACACCGAUGGCGAAGGCAGCCUCCUGGGAUAACACUGACGCUCAUGCACGAAAGCGUGGGGAGCAAACAGGAUUAGAUACUCCCGGUAGUCCACGCCCUAAACGAUGUCAACUAGCUGUUAGCUCGCCUUGGUAGCGCAGCUAACGCGUGAAGUUGACCGCCUGGGGAGUGGUCGCAAGAUUAAAACUCAAAAAGGAAUUGACGGGGACUCCGCACAAGCGGUGGAUGAUGUGAUUUAAUUGAUGCAACGCGAAAAACCUUACCUACCCUUGACAUGUCUGGAAUCCUGAAGAGAUUUGGGAGUGCUCGCAAGAGAACCGGAACACAGGUGCUGCAUGGCUGUCGUCAGCUCGUGUCGUGAGAUGUUGGGUUAAGUCCCGGCAACGAGCGCAACCCUGUCAUUAGUUGCUACGAAAGGGCACUCUAAUGAGAUCGCCGGUGACAAACCGAGGAAGGGGAGCGACGUCAAGUCCUCAAGCACUUUAUGGGUAGGGCUUCACACGUCAUACAAUGGUCGGGACAGAGGUCGCCAACCCGCGAGGGGGAGCCAAUCCCAGAAACCCGAUCGCAGUCCGGAUCGCAGUCUGCAACUCGACUGCGUGAAGUCGGAAUCGCUAGUAAUCGCGGAUCAGCAUGUCGCGGUGAUGUUCCCGGGUCUGCACACACCGCCCGUCACACCAUGGAGUGGGUUUUACCAGAAGUAGUUAGCCUAACCGUAAGGAGGGCGAUUACUACGGUAGGAUUCAUGAUUGGGGUGAGGUCGUAACAAGGUAACCC